rnacentral:rRNA from 1 species
GAUGAACGCUGGCGGCGUGCCUAAUACAUGCAAGUCGAACGCAUUGUGGUUGAAAUGAUAUGAAGAACUUGUUCAGAUUUGAUUUUCAACAUUGCAAUGAGUGGCGAACGGGUGAGUAACACGUGGGAAACCUACCUCUUAGCAGGGGAUAACAUUUGGAAACAAAUGCUAAUACCGUAUAAUAAUUAAAACCGCAUGGUUUUAGUUUAAAAGAAUGGUCUUGCUAUCACUAAGAGAUGGUCCCGCGGUGUAUUAGUUAGUUGGUGAGGUAAUGGCUCACCAAGACAAUGAUACAUAGCCGAGUUGAGAGACUGACCGGCCACAAUGGGACUGAGAC